CCUACGGGAGGCAGCAGUGAGGAAUAUUGGUCAAUGGACGGAAGUCUGAACCAGCCAUGCCGCGUGCAGGAAGACGGCUCUAUGAGUUGUAAACUGCUUUUGUACAAGGGUAAACCUGAAUACGUGUAUGCAGCUGAAAGUACUGUACGAAUAAGGAUCGGCUAACUCCGUGCCAGCAGCCGCGGUAAUACGGAGGAUCCAAGCGUUAUCCGGAUUUAUUGGGUGUAAAGGGUGCAUAGGCGGAUUGAUAAGUUAGAGGUGAAAUGUCCGAGCUUAACUCGGGAACUGCCUCUAAUACUGUUGAUCUCGAGCGUAGAUGCGGUAGGCGUAAUGUAUGGUGUCGCGG
rnacentral:rRNA from 1 species